CGUCUCCAUCGUUGUUUAGAAGGUCCUGGUCUCUUUCUUAGUUCAUAUGUUGUUUAAUUUAGUAUUGCAUAAAUUUGUUAGCAUGAAAUUGCCAUAUCCAUAUUUUUAAAUGUUUACAUGCGGUUGAAGCUGCAAGAGAAUUGGAAGCUAUUACAACCAUAAAAGCAAUCAACACUAGCUGGUUGCAUUCAACCAUUAACCAAUGUAACUUAGAGUCUGAUGUCACAGUCAACACUAUUCCAAACGUGAAGAGCAUGAAGUCCAUGUUGGUAUCUCCAACUCGUUUGGCUUUCGUGGGCAUAAUGUGGUGGUUGUUUUCACUCCAUUCAAGUCCUAGAUGAAGGUUAAUCGAAGUAGCCUCUCUCUUCACCUUUUUCCUUUUGGAAAGAUCUGAUUUUGGUAUCAUUUUAAUUGCCCAAAGCAUAACUACAAAAUAUUCGAGUAUAUCACGGUUUCGUCAUUUUAUGAUAUUUGAGUGAUGGCUGUUGAAGUUGAACCGCAAACCGUACUCGAAAAGUAUACAGUUGGUGGUAUGAACAAAAAUAACAAA